rnacentral:piRNA from 1 species
UGGUGAGAAGCAGGGAAAUCCAGCG